rnacentral:rRNA from 1 species
CCUACGGGCGGCAGCAGUGAGGAAUAUUGGUCAAUGGGCGAGAGCCUGAACCAGCCAAGUCGCGUGAGGGAAGACGGUCCUAUGGAUUGUAAACCUCUUUUGUCGGGGAGCAAAAAGGCCUCGUGAGGCCACAAGUGAGAGUAACCGAAGAAAAAGCACCGGCAAACUCCGUGCCACAAGCCGCGGUAAUACGGAGGAUGCGAGCGUUAUUGGGAUUUAUUGGGUUUAAAGGGUGGGUAGGCGGACUGGAAAGUCAGCGGUAAAAUCGGGAGGCUAACCCUCUUUCCGCCGUUGAAACUGGCAGUCUUGAGUGGGCGAGAGGUAUGCGGAAUGCGUGGUGUAGCGGUGAAAUGCAUAGAUAUCACGAAGAACUCCGAUUGCGAAGGCAGCAUACCGGAGUCCCACUGACGCUGAGGCACGAAAGCGUGGGUAUCGAACAGGAUUAGAUACCCGUGUAGUC